rnacentral:rRNA from 1 species
UACGAAGGGGGCUAGCGUUGCUCGGAAUUACUGGGCGUAAAGCGCACGUAGGCGGUCUUUUAAGUCGGGGGUGAAAUCCUGGAGCUCAACUCCAGAACUGCCUUCGAUACUGGAAGACUUGAGUCCGGGAGAGGUGAGUGGAACUGCGAGUGUAGAGGUGAAAUUCGUAGAUAUUCGCAAGAACACCAGUGGCGAAGGCGGCUCACUGGCCCGGUACUGACGCUGAGGUGCGAAAGCGUGGGGAGCAAACGGG